UUGUACUAUUUUGGGUGGAUGUAGCCAAGAAGAUGGGGGAUCCCCCUCCCCUCAGCUCCCAGUUUUUUGCCGUUUCACCCCAGAAAAGGCAGGCAGCCAGGACCUCUCGUUCCCACAGCCCUGUGUUGUGGAAACACGAUUCCACGA